rnacentral:rRNA from 1 species
AUGGCCCGAAGCCGGAGCGGCGGCCUCUCGUUAUCGUCCGCGCUGAGCCUGGGGCUCGCCGUGCUGGCCGUCACAUGGGCGGCGUCCACGGCGCAGCAGCAGCCGCCGGCCGUGCCCAGCCCGGGCGUGAGCGUGCCGAGCUGCCCGCCGGUGCAGGCCUCGCUGUCGCCGUGCGUGAGCUACUUCAUCGGCAACUCCUCGUCGCCGUCCGACGCGUGCUGCGUCCAGAUGCGGGCCCUGUUCCAGUCGCAGGCGCCGUGCCUCUGCGCCGCCGUGUCCGCCGUGCCGUCCCAGCUCGGGUCCGUGGUCGGUGGCCUGCUCCCCACCGCCUGCGACCUGCCCCCCAACGCCUGCUCCGCUGUGACAGGGACCACCAGCUCUGCUCCGGCGCCGUCGUCGUCGACGGGAACACCUACUGAUGCUGCGGCUGCUGCGCCGGUGACCGGUCCGGCUGAUGCGGACCCGGCUGGCACGCCUUCCGGUGGUGGGGUGAAGUCGGUUCCGGGGACGGUUGAUUCGGCGGCUGCCGUUGAGUGCAAGGGGACCUCCGCUGCCGUCGUCGUCCUGGCCAUGGCUGCCUCGUUCCUAGCUGCUUAUGUUCUCUGA